AUGUCAGUUUUGCUAAGUGAUGAAUGGAAACUGCAGCAAGGGCCGGAUGAUAUCAUCCCUGCAUUGAAACUUAGUUUCACACACUUGCCUUUCCAUCUCCAAAGGUGUUUUUCUUAUUGUGCACUAUUUCCUAAAGGUCACAUGUUUGAUGGGAUGGAAUUGGUUCGCAUUUGGAUAUCACAAGGUUUUGUUCCUCCUGGAAGUAAGAGAAUGGAGGAGACUGGUUAUCAUUACUUGAAUGAUUUAGUGGACCGAGGUUUUUUUCAAAGAAGCACAUACUAUUGUAUGCAUGAUCUGAUUCAUGACCUGGCCCAUAUAGUUUCUUUAGACGAAUGUCAUAUGUUGGAAAAUUUUGAUUCAAAAAGUGGAACAUGUCACCCAACUAUUCGACACCUAUCUAUCAAUACAAGAUCUGCUUAUAAGUGGAACACAAGUGCCCGGCAUUAUUCUCCCAAUGAUAACUUUCAGAGAAAGCUGGCUUACAUUGGUGGAAAAGUGCAGACCAAAACGUUGAGCACAUUAAUGUUAUUUGGAAAGUAUGAUGAAGGGUUUUCUGAAACUUUUUGCAAGGUAUUCAAAGAGGUGCAGCAUCUUCGCGUUUUGAGGUUAUCCGUACUAACUUCCAGCAUAGACACUCUUCUUAGUGACUUUGGCAAAUUGAUCCAUCUUCGCUAUCUUGAACUAAUAUCAAGUGGACUAGGUGGACCCUUGCCAGAGGUUAUAUGUCGACUUUAUCAUCUCCAGGUUCUUGAUGUAGAGUAUUGCGUGGAUCUUUCGGCUUUACCACAUGGCAUGAACAAUCUUUUGAACUUGAGGCAUUUUGUUGCUCGAGGUGAAUUGCAUGCAAAGAUUGCUGGAGUUGGAAGGCUAAAGUUCCUCCAAGAAUUGAAGGAAUUCCGAGUGGGAGAGACUGAAGACUUUCAGAUUGAACAGUUGAAUGGGUUAAAAGAAUUGGGAGGAUCUCUUGCAAUUUACAAUCUGGAGAAUUUGGGUAGUAGAGAGGAGUCUACGAAUGCUGGAUUAAGGGACAAGAUAUACAUCCAUGAUAUGUUGCUUUCAUGGUGUAAGAAUCGGUUUGGUGUGAGUUCUAUUACUGAGGCACAGGUGCUUGAGGGUCUUCAUCCAAGUUUUGGGCUCAAGCGCCUUCAUAUAACUAGUUAUGGAGGUAUUUGUUCCCCGACAUGGUUGAGCUCCAAUUUUCCACUCACCAGCUUAGAGUCCAUCUAUCUGGAGAAUUGCACAAAAUGGGAGAUACUUCCGCCACUUGGGCAAUUUCCACUCCUUAAAACACUACAUUUGAUACAGUUGUCUGCUUCAACAGAAGUACCAGUUAUGUACUGUGACGAUUGGACUGAGUCUGAAAAGCAUGUCAUUUUUCCAUGUCUAGAAGAACUUACAAUAAGAGAUUGCCCUAAACUAAGGUUAUUUGCAUUACCUCAAUGUUCUUCCAGUGACAAAGGCUUUCACUCAUUUUGUUGUCUCCGUCGUGUUAACAUUUACAACUGUCCUCAGCUGGUUGACUUACCCCAGUUUGGUGAGAUGAAAUCUCUAUCCAUAAUGUCUAUUGAGGGAGUAGGAUCAUUUCCUGACAUCAGAUUAUUUGUGCGAGCAUUACAUAUCAAAGGGAGUGCUAGUGUGAGAACCUUGGAUGAGAUAUUAACAUCAAUUUUGACUUACUGCAGGCUUAGUGGGCUUGUGAAAUUAACAAUUGCAAGCUUCCUAGAUCUAGCAUAUUUGCCCUGGGAAAAUUUCAGCCGACUUCUCUGCUUAGAGAUGCUGGUAAUUAUGGAUUGCCCAAAGUUUUUCUUGCCUGCUUAUCCGUAUGAUCAAGGAGUCCCAUCUUUGCUCAAGAAGCUUGUAAUCCAAGAAUGUGGUAUAACUGGGAAGCAGUUAUCUGACUUGCUGUUGCAAUUGCCCUUCCUUUAUUUCUUGACUAUUGGAAGCUGUCCAAAAAUAGCAUCCUUGGCAGUUGGUGAUCUGAUUACUGGGAAUUUCAGCUCCUCAACAUCUUACAACCACUACUGGACAAUUGAUGGCUUGUUGCAUAUCCCACUUGACCUCUUAAAUCGGCUUGAGUAUUUGUGCAUACAAGACUUCCCAGAUCUGGUUCUUCUGUGCAAUGAAGGCUUUCUUGGAUUUAUCUCACUCAAAACACUACACAUAACAGGGUGCCCACAUUUUUUCUCUAUAUGGACAGAAAAAGAAUCCAGUGAUAGCUGGUCCCUCCUACCACCAUCGAUACAAGACCUUAUGGUUACUCACAUGGAUAACAGGUUGCUGUCUUUCAUGCUUUCUAAUCUCACCUCAUUGUCCACCUUGGCAAUAUCACGGAGUCCAGGGCUGACAUCUAUUAUUCUCCAUUCUUGCACAUCUUUAGAAACAUUUAUUAUUGAGAAAUGUGCUAGGUUAUCUGCUCUGGACAGCAUGGGGUCUCUCUGCAGUAUCAAGCACAUGCGGAUUUUUGAAUGUCCCAGUUUGGCUAUACCUUGCAGCCCUUCAUCUCCAGAUGGGCAGAACAAGGAUCUGUACUUUUUACUGCAUCUAGAGAAGCUUGAGAUUGAUAACGCUUCAUUCUUUAGCACAGCAAUUUGCAAGAGCCUCCCCUCUCUCCAACAUGUGGUGUUUUUCAUGGCGAAGAAUGUGAGAUCGUUCACAGAAGAACAAGACAAAGUAAUUUGUCACCUUACAUCUCUUCAUAUUCUUGAUUUUUGCUACUGCUCUGAUCUCAUAUCGCUGCCUAAGGAACUGCAUCGUCUUUCUUCCGUCAAGAAACUAUCUAUCAAGGCUUGUCCAGGAAUUCUAUCAUUGCCAGAAAUGGGCCUGCCGGCUUCCCUGCAGGAGCUGUAUGUGAGCAACUGUAGUACAGAACUAAAGGAACAGUGUAGAAAGAUAAAAAAAACGUUAGAUGCGUUUAUGUUCUUUAUCGAAAAAAAAGAUGAGUUUAUGUUGAUUGACAUGCAAUUAAUUCACCGGAACCAGAAAAAAUGA
rnacentral:rRNA from 1 species